rnacentral:rRNA from 1 species
AACGCGAAGAACCUUACCUGGAUUUGACAUCCCCGGACAGCCCUAGAGAUAGGGUUUUGGUAGCAAUACCACUGGGAGACAGGUGCUGCAUGGCUGUCGUCAGCUCGUGUGGUGACAUGUUGGGUUAAGUCCCGCAACGAGCGCAACCCUUGUCCUUAGUUGCCAGCAUUAAGUUGGGCUCUCUAAGGAGACUGCCGGUGAUAAGCCGCGAGGAAGGUGGGGAUGACGUCAAGUCCUCAUGGCCCUUACGGGCUGGGCUACACACGUGCUACAAUGGCGGUGACAAUGGGACGCGAAGGGGCAACCCCUAGCAAAUCUCAAAGAGCCGUCUCAGUUCGGAUUGGGCUCUGCAACUCGAGACCAUGAAGUUGGAAUCGCUAGUAAUCGUGGAUCAGCACGCCACGGUGAAUACGUUCACGGGCCUUGUACACACCGACGCGUA